GAGUUUGAUCUUGGCUCAGAUUGAACGCUGGCGGCAUGCCUUACACAUGCAAGUCGAACGACGCUAGGGGCAACUCUAGCGAGUGGCGAACGGGUGAGUAAUACAUCGGAACGUGUCCUGUCGUGGGGGAUAACCAGUCGAAAGACUGGCUAAUACCGCAUGACCUCGCAAGAGAAAAGCGGAGGACCGCAAGGCUUCGCGCGAUUGGAGCGGCCGAUGUCGGAUUAGCUAGUUGGCGGGGUAAUGGCCCACCAAGGCGACGAUCCGUAGCUGGUUUGAGAGAACGACCAGCCACACUGGGACUGAGACACGGCCCAGACUCCUACGGGAGGCAGCAGUGGGGAAUUUUGGACAAUGGGGGCAACCCUGAUCCAGCCAUGCCGCGUGUGUGAAGAAGGCCUCGGUUGUAAG
rnacentral:rRNA from 1 species